CACUGCAUUCUGUGCAGUAUCCUAAGUUGAAUACAUAGACUUAGAGAAGCGAACCCGGAGAACUGAACCAUCUAAGUACCCGGAGGAAAAGAAAUCAACCGAGAUUCCGCAAGUAGUGGCGAGCGAACGCGGAGGAGCCUGUACGUGAUAAUUGUCGAGAUAGAAGAACAAGCUGGGAAGCUUGACCAUAGUGGGUGAUAGUCCCGUAUUCGAAAUCUCAAUAGUGGUACUAAGCGUGCGAAAAGUAGGGCGGGACACGUGAAAUCCUGUCUGAAGAUGGGGGGACCAUCCUCCAAGGCUAAAUACUCAUCAUCGACCGAUAGUGAACCAGUACCGUGAGGGAAAGGCGAAAAGAACCCCGGGAGGGGAGUGAAAUAGAACCUGAAACCUGAUGCAUACAAACAGUGGGAGCACCCUUAUGGUGUGACUGCGUACCUUUUGUAUAAUGGGUCAACGACUUACAUUCAGUAGCGAGCUUAACCGGAUAGGGGAGGCGUAGGGAAACCGAGUCUUAAUAGGGCGAAAAGUUGCUGGGUGUAGACCCGAAACCGAGUGAUCUAUCCAUGGCCAGGUUGAAGGUGCCGUAACAGGUACUGGAGGACCGAACCCACGCAUGUUGCAAAAUGCGGGGAUGAGCUGUGGAUAGGGGUGAAAGGCUAAACAAACUCGGAGAUAGCUGGUUCUCCCCGAAAACUAUUUAGGUAGUGCCUCGAGCAAGACACUGAUGGGGGUAAAGCACUGUUAUGGCUAGGGGGUUAUUGCAACUUACCAACCCAUGGCAAACUCAGAAUACCAUCAAGUGGUUCCUCGGGAGACAGACAGCGGGUGCUAACGUCCGUUGUCAAGAGGGAAACAACCCAGACCGCCAGCUAAGGUCCCAAAUGAUAGAUUAAGUGGUAAACGAAGUGGGAAGGCCCAGACAGCCAGGAUGUUGGCUUAGAAGCAGCCAUCAUUUAAAGAAAGCGUAAUAGCUCACUGGUCGAGUCGUCCUGCGCGGAAGAUGUAACGGGGCUCAAAUCUAUAACCGAAGCUGCGGAUGCUAGUUUACUAGCAUGGUAGGGGAGCGUUCUGUAGGCCGAAGAAGGUGCAUUGUAAAGUGUGCUGGAGGUAUCAGAAGUGCGAAUGUUGACAUGAGUAGCGAUAAAGCGGGUGAAAAGCCCGCUCGCCGAAAGCCCAAGGUUUCCUACGCAACGUUCAUCGGCGUAGGGUGAGUCGGCCCCUAAGGCGAGGCAGAAAUGCGUAGUCGAUGGGAAACAGGUUAAUAUUCCUGUACUUGAUUCAAAUGCGAUGUGGGGACGGAGAAGGUUAGGUUAGCAAGCUGUUGGAAUAGCUUGUUUAAGCCGGUAGGUGGAAGACUUAGGCAAAUCCGGGUCUUCUUAACACCGAGAAGUGACGACGAGUGUCUACGGACAUGAAGUAACCGAUACCACGCUUCCAGGAAAAGCCACUAAGCUUCAGUUUGAAUCGAACCGUACCGCAAACCGACACAGGUGGGCAGGAUGAGAAUUCUAAGGCGCUUGAGAGAACUCGGGAGAAGGAACUCGGCAAAUUGAUACCGUAACUUCGGGAGAAGGUAUGCCCUCUAAGGUUAAGGACUUGCUCCGUAAGCCCUGGAGGGUCGCAGAGAAUAGGUGGCUGCGACUGUUUAUUAAAAACACAGCACUCUGCUAACACGAAAGUGGACGUAUAGGGUGUGACGCCUGCCCGGUGCUGGAAGGUUAAUUGAAGAUGUGAGAGCAUCGGAUCGAAGCCCCAGUAAACGGCGGCCGUAACUAUAACGGUCCUAAGGUAGCGAAAUUCCUUGUCGGGUAAGUUCCGACCCGCACGAAUGGCGUAACGAUGGCCACACUGUCUCCUCCCGAGACUCAGCGAAGUUGAAGUGGUUGUGAAGAUGCAAUCUACCCGCUGCUAGACGGAAAGACCCCGUGAACCUUUACUGUAGCUUUGCAUUGGACUUUGAAGUCACUUGUGUAGGAUAGGUGGGAGGCUUUGAAGCAGAGACGCCAGUCUCUGUGGAGCCGUCCUUGAAAUACCACCCUGGUGGCUUUGAGGUUCUAACCCAGACCCGUUAUCCGGGUCGGGGACCGUGCAUGGUAGGC
rnacentral:rRNA from 1 species